AACGUAGGAGGCGAGCGUUAUCCGGAUUUACUGGGCGUAAAGCGCACGCAGGUGGCUUUGUAAGUCGGACAUGAAAGCUCCUGGCUUAACUGGGAGAGGUUGUUCGAAACUGCGAGGCUUGAGGUUGGGAGAGGGACGUGGAAUUCCCGGUGUAGUGGUGGAAUGCGUAGAUAUCGGGAGGAACACCAGUGGCGCAAGCGGCGUCCUGGCCCACACCUGACGCUGAGGUGCGAAAGCGUGGGGAGCAAACAGG
rnacentral:rRNA from 1 species